AAUCAACGCUGGCGGCGUGCCUAACACAUGCAAGUCGAGCGAGAAAAGGGGAGCAAUCCUCUGAGUACAGCGGCGCACGGGUGAGUAACACGUGGGUAAUCUGCCCUGGAGUGGGGAAUAACACCGGGAAACCGGUGCUAAUACCGCAUACGAUCGCGAUGUCUGCGGACGUUGUGAUGAAAGGAGCAAUUCGCUCCAGGAGGAGCCCGCGGCUGAUUAGCUAGUUGGUGAGGUAAUGGCUCACCAAGGCUACGAUCAGUAUCCGGUCUG
rnacentral:rRNA from 1 species